ACACAUACACUAGCAUCAGGAAAGCAAACCCAUAAGCGAGGCAUAAGUGACAUUAGCACACGAACGCACGAGAGGACCUCAGGAGAGGUACCAUGUGGCCGUGGACCUGAAGACUGGUGGCCCGAGGACAAAUGCUGCAGCCUUGGUCAGAGAAGCUUGCUUUUGCUACCAACAGAGGUUGAACAUUCUGAUAACAUAAAUGUAACACUAGAAAGCAAGCGCUUUGAGCAUCCACCUCUGUUCACCACUACUGAGAUGCUUCUUGUGCCAUGAACAAGAAGGAAAACUAUGGAAUUGUUCCUGUUCUCUCUGGCUUCCUAACACAGUGGCAAGUCCACAAAGGGCCACUAGGUGGUGCCACACAUCACAGACGGAAGGCCUUUCUUGGUCCUGGAAAGCUUGAUGGAGAAGAACCACUCACUUCAUGGCAGCCAGAGAAGCAACUGCUGAGUGAUAUCGUGUGGAAUUUGGGUGGGAAACACCAAGCUGUUUUCUACAGGGGCUCCAUGAUUUUGCCUCUCAACUCUUGUGCACAGGGUUUGACCUGCUCCAUGCCCUCACCAUGUGCAGGGAUUUUUAAAAAUAAUACA